AUUGAACGCUGGCGGCAUGCCUUACACAUGCAAGUCGAACGGUAACGCGGGGCAACCUGGCGACGAGUGGCGAACGGGUGAGUAAUAUAUCGGAACGUGCCCAGUAGUGGGGGAUAGCCCGGCGAAAGCCGGAUUAAUACCGCAUGAGACCUGAGGGUGAAAGCGGGGGAUCGCAAGACCUCGCGCUAUUGGAGCGGCCGAUAUCAGAUUAGCUAGUUGGUGGGGUAAAGGCCCACCAAGGCAACGAUCUGUAGUUGGUCUGAGAGGACGACCAGCCACACUGGGACUGAGACACGGCCCAGACUCCUACGGGAGGCAGCAGUGGGGAAUUUUGGACAAUGGGCGCAAGCCUGAUCCAGCAAUGCCGCGUGCAGGAAGAAGGCCUCGGUU
rnacentral:rRNA from 1 species